AUUGAACGCUGGCGGCAUGCUUUACACAUGCAAGUCGAACGGUAACAGGCCGCAAGGUGCUGACGAGUGGCGAACGGGUGAGUAAUGCAUCGGAACGUGCCCAGUCGUGGGGGAUAACUGCUCGAAAGAGCAGCUAAUACAGCAUACGAUCUAUGGAUGAAAGCGGGGGACCGUAAGGCCUCGCGCGAUUGGAGCGGCCGAUGUCAGAUUAGGUAGUUGGUGGGGUAAAGGCUCACCAAGCCAACGAUCUGUAGCUGGUCUGAGAGGACGACCAGCCACACUGGGACUGAGACACGGCCCAGACUCCUACGGGAGGCAGCAGUGGGGAAUUUUGGACAAUGGGGGCAACCCUGAUCCAGCAAUGCCGCGUGCAGGAAGAAGGCCUUCGGGUUGUAAACUGCUUUUGUACGGAACGAAACGGUCUGGGUUAAUACCCUGGGCUAAUGACGGUACCGUAAGAAUAAGCACCGGCUAACUACGUGCCAGCCGCCGCAGUAA
rnacentral:rRNA from 1 species